rnacentral:rRNA from 1 species
GAUGAACGCUGGCGGCGUGCCUAAUACAUGCAGUAGAACGCUGAAGGAGGAGCUUGCUCUUCUGGAUGAGUUGCGAACGGGUGAGUCACGCGUAGGUAACCUGCCUGGUAGCGGGGGAUAACUAUUGGAAACGAUAGCUAAUACCGCAUAACAGUAGAUAUCGCAUGAUAUCUGCUUGAAAGGUGCAAUUGCAUCACUACCAGAUGGACCUGCGUUGUAUUAGCUAGUUGGUGAGGUAACGGCUCACCAAGGCGACGAUACAUAGCCGACCUGAGAGGGUGAUCGGCCACACUGGGACUGAGACACGGCCCAGACUCCUACGGGAGGCAGCAGUAGGGAAUCUUCGGCAAUGGACGGAAGUCUGACCGAGCAACGCCGCGUGAGUGAAGAAGGUUUUCGGAUCGUAAAGCUCUGUUGUAAGAGAAGAACGAGUGUGAGAGUGGAAAGUUCACACUGAUGACGGUAUCUUACCAGAA